CACAUGCAAGUCGAACGCACCGCAAGGUGAGUGGCAGACGGGUGAGUAACGCGUGGGAAUCUACCCAAUACUACGGAAUAGCUCCGGGAAACUGGAAUUAAUACCGUAUGUGCCCUACGGGGGAAAGAUUUAUCGGUAUUGGAUGAGCCCGCGUGGGAUUAGCUAGUUGGUGAGGUAACGGCCCACCAAGGCGACGAUCCAUAGCUGGUCUGAGAGGAUGAUCAGCCACACUGGGACUGAGACACGGGCCAGACUCCCACGGGAGGCAGCAGUGGGGAAUAUUGGACAAUGGGCGCAAGCCUGAUCCAGCCAUGCCGCGUGAGUGAUGAAGGCCUUAGGGUCGUAAAGCUCUUUCAGUGGGGAAGAUAAUGACGGUACCCACAGAAGAAGCCCCGGCUAACUUCGUGCCAGCAGCCGCGGUAAUACGAAGGGGGCUAGCGUUGUUCGGAUUUACUGGGCGUAAAGCGCACGUAGGCGGAUCGUUAAGUCGGGGGUGAAAUCCUGNAGCUCAACUCCAGAACUGCCUUCGAUACUGGCGAUCUC
rnacentral:rRNA from 1 species